rnacentral:tRNA from 1 species
GUGGCGAAAUUGGUAGACGCGCUGGAUUUAGGUUCCAGUUCUUCACGGAGUGAGGGUUCGAGUCCCUCCUUGCCCACCA